GGAUGGCGCAGAUGCGGAAGGCCACUUCGUCAGGGAUGGGCGACAGGGGAUAAGGCCGGGGUCCUAAGGCCACCUCGGGUAGACACAAGGAAAUGGAGCCCCAAGAGGAGAACUAAUUUGCCCAAGAUCACAGUCGAUGGCAGUGCAUGAGGACCAUGAGCCCAGGUCUUUUGCUUCCAGUUUUUUGACACAGCAGCUCCAACACCCUAAGGGUGUGUUGCCUGAGAUAAUGCCAGUUCUCCUUGGGCUUCCCUUGCCAGCCACUUCCCAGCUGCAGAUUUUAGCAGUAUGAAAUAGGAAACGUCUCCAAGUUACCUGGAACCAGAGAAAUGAAAUCUACUUAGAGGAGUCUCUUCAAGAGCUGCCAUGAGAAUGAGAUCUAUUCAAGAAUUUCCAAGUGAAAAUGUUUCCAGGGACCAGAAGCCUACAUGGGACAGCUAGGAUUCAAAAUGUAGCUUUUGAUUAAAUGAACUUUGGGAAUAGGUUACCAGGAACAAAGAAAUUUGAUGUUAUUUAAUAUUGAUGAUCAUUAUUAUGUUAAUUUUGGCUUCAGUGUUUCAUUUUUGCCUGCAAAAGGGGUAUGACCAAAUUCUUUCUUAUUCAUUGUUUGGAAAUCAGGACCAUUCCUCCUUCAAUUUUUGGAAACCUGUCUUCUGUUUAUGUAUACCUUACCUGACCAAAACUUGACUUAUGGAAAUAAUAGUGUUAACUGUUUAACAUUCCUAAGUAGAAGCCAAAGGGAAGUUUAAGUUUCUUAAAGUGAUUUAGAUAUUUGUCAGCUACUCUAACUGGUGAUAUGUAAAUUUCUCCUCUCAUUCAAUCCAUUAUAACCCUUUAAAUUAGUAGCUUAAUUUGUAACAUGUCUUAAUUUAGCUUUAUAAUUUAUUUUACAAGGUUUGUCUCCUUAAGGGAUGUAUGAGAUGAUUCUGUUUAAUUAAAUUGGUUCAGUUUUUAUGGCAUAG